rnacentral:rRNA from 1 species
UAGGGAAUCUUCGGCAAUGGACGAAAGUCUGACCGAGCAACGCCGCGUGAGUGAAGAAGGUUUUCGGAUCGUAAAACUCUGUUGGUAGAGAAGAACGUUGGUGAGAGUGGAAAGCUCAUCAAGUGACGGUAACUACCCAGAAAGGGACGGCUAACUACGUGCCAGCAGCCGCGGUAAUACGUAGGUCCCGAGCGUUGUCCGGAUUUAUUGGGCGUAAAGCGAGCGCAGGUGGUUUAUUAAGUCUGGUGUAAAAGGCAGUGGCUCAACCAUUGUAUGCAUUGGAAACUGGUAGACUUGAGUGCAGGAGAGGAGAGUGGAAUUCCAUGUGUAGCGGUGAAAUGCGUAGAUAUAUGGAGGAACACCGGUGGCGAAAGCGGCUCUCUGGCCUGUAACUGACACUGAGGCUCGAAAGCGUGGGGAGCAAACAGGAUUAGAUACCCUGGUAGUCCACGCCGUAAACGAUGAGUGCUAGAUGUAGGGAGCUAUAAGUUCUCUGUAUCGCAGCUAACGCAAUAAGCACUCCGCCUGGGGAGU